AUCGUACGUGUGGAUAUCUCCAGAAAUCUCUGGUCGUUAUCUUCCCGCAAAAAGCCACUGCCUCUCGUUUAGAACUUGUCUUUCUCUUCUCUCUGAAGAAGAAGAAGAAGAAGAAGAAUUGGGCUGCCUCUAAUGGCGUCUAUGUCGUCUUCGCUCUUUGGAUGUUUUACUAGUAGUUGUAGUAACAAGAGCAGUGCUUAUCCAACGUCAACCACAGUAAUGUUAUCUCCUCCUUCCUUGGGCAAAGGUUCUACUUCCUCAGUGAGAGUAAUUGAAUGGAACAUUUCGAAACGAUCUCUUGUCAGAAAGCGACAAAGAUGUUGCAAUUCAGUGGUUUCUAUGUUGAAUGUUGUUUUGAAUAGCGGGGAAGGGGAUGUCGGGAGAAGGGAAGCAUUGUUCGCAGGCAUUGGGAUUAUGCUGGGAGUCUUGUAUCGCGAUCAAGAGAGUCGAGUGGCCGUGGCAUCUGAAUUUGCUGACAUGCCAGCAAUUCGAGGGAAGGAUUACGGGAAGUCGAAAAUGAAAUAUCCUGAUUACGUAGAAACAGAAUCAGGUCUUCAGUACAAGGAUUUACGACCGGGUAAAGGCCCAACUGCAAAGAUGGGAGAUGCUGUGGUGGUCGACUGGGAUGGUUAUACCAUAGGAUACUAUGGCCGCAUAUUUGAAGCUCGAAACAAAACAAAAGGGGGUUCCUUUGAGGGUGAUGAAAAAGAGUUUUUCAAGUUUAAGGUUGGAUCCCAACAGGUUAUACCAGCUUUUGAGGAAGCUAUUAUAGGAAUGGCUCCUGGUGGCGUUAGAAGGGUUGCAGGAUCAUAGUUCCCCCAGAAUUGGGAUAUCCAGAUAAUGACUACAACAAUAAGGGGCCACAACCAACGACAUUUUCGGGUCAAAGAGCUUUGGAUUUCGUGUUGAAGAACCAAGGACUGAUAGACAAGACUUUGUUGUUCGACAUCGAGCUCCUCAAAAUUGUAACUAACUGAGGAGCCAUCAUGUCAUGUGGCUUGAACAUGGUGUUAUCGGAUUGCUUCUCUAUGUUGAGGUUUUUUAUCAUCUUUAAAUCCCUUGGAAGAAAAUGCAUAUCACUCUAUGCAAAGUUGUGGAUGGCAUUGUUAGCUUGCACAAGAACAAUACAUAAACAUGCUCGAAGCUACAGCAGGAAUACCGAGUGUUCGCUCUUUUUAGCUAGAGACUAAGGUGCAACAUUUUCUUAUUGUUCUUUCUGUUUGUAAAUUGUAAUCAUGCCAAUAUGUACUAGAGAACUGUUGUUUAUGUGAAAAAAAGAGGAGUCAUAGUCUUAUGCUUAAAGCUUACACGAUAUGAACAUUUGAAUUUUUUUUAAAUCUUUAAGCAACAUGUUUCAGAACAGAGUGUAAUUUUUUGUUAUCUGAAAUUGUAACGGAUGUUUAUGCUUU